GGUAAAAUUGAAAUGCAACUCAAUGUUUCUUUUGUUUUCUUUUGCCUUUGAAUAGCAACUCCAGAUGUUUCCUGACCCCAAAGCAGCUUCAGUGUUGGACUAGAGAUCCAGGAGACUGAAUCCGCACACUAACUUGUGUGUAAUUGAGUUACUUGGACAUCUUGACCUGAAGAAUCUUGCAUGAUUCUGAGAUUCCUACACUUUAGAUGCACAUAGCCCAUGUUGACAUGAGAGCAGUGCUGAUUGUUGGGGGCUGCCAGCUGUGCACUUCAGAGAGAACUUUGGGGUCUCAAGCAAGACAGAAAGGUGAUUCUUCUGUGAUUCUCUGA
rnacentral:lncRNA from 1 species